rnacentral:pre_miRNA from 1 species
UUCUCCAAAAGGGAGCACUUUCUGUUUGAAAGAAAACAAAGUGCCUCCUUUUAGAGUGU